GUUCCAUCGACAUCUGCUGCAACUGUUCUACAAACUUAACAAGUUGUACAACCUUCUGCUGGUAUCAUUGUAGAUGAAAAUCUAUCAUGGAAGAAUCGCAUCGGACAUUUAUGCAACAAAGUUGCAAAAAGCGUAUAUAUCAAGUAAAUGUUUAUAAUGUUCUUUGUUUUAUGUUUAAAUGUAAAACCAACUCUUC